ACCAAAGAUGCAAGCAGCGCGGUGCAGGCUUGGAAUGUGAUUUUUAAAGCAGCCAAGAACUUACCUAAUCGUUGCAAUUACUAGAGAACGCUAAGCUGAGUCCAAGGCUAUACAUAUAUAUAUAAUUUUUUAAAGGACUUCCCGCGGCCGCGGCGAAUGCCCACAAACUUGUUUGACUUCAUCUCCUCGCUGACGGGGAAUCCAGGACUGAACUUGUCGGAAGGUGAGCCUAACUUGGCCAGCCCCAGGGCGCGGCUGGCAGCUGUCCUGGGAGGAAACGGGAGUUUGGAGACUGGAAGGUGAAAGGGGGAGAAGCUGGAGGAACCAGCUGCAAAACCUGGGGGGUGGACUCGACAAAGGUCAAAGUGAUGGAGUCCUGUGGCCACUGCUGAGUUUUCCAGAUUUGCUGGCAUAUUGAGUGCAGCACUUUCACACUAUCAUCUUUUAGGAGUUGAAAUAACUAAUGUGGAAUUCCAUCCCCUCCACUAGCUUUGUUCAUAGUGAUGCUUCCUAAGGCCCACUUGACUUCGCAUUCCAGAAUGUAUGGCUCUAGAUGUUCAAGCAGGAUUUAGAAAAGGCAGAGGAACCAGAAAGCAAAUUGCCAACAUCUGCUGGAUCAUCAAAAAAGCAAGAGAGUUCCAGGAAAACAUCUACUUUUGCUUUAUUGACUACGCCAAAGCCUUGGACUACGUGGAUCACAAGAAACUGUGGAAAAUAAUUCAGGAGCUGGGAAUACCAGACCACCUGACCUGCCUCCUGAGAAAUCUGUAUGCAGGUCAGGAAGCAACAGUUAGAACUGGACAUGGAACAACAGACUGGUUCCAAAUAGGGAAAGGAGUAUAUCAAAGCUAUAUAUUGUCACCCUGCUUAUUUAACUUAUAUGCAGAAUACAUCAUGUGAAAUGCCAGGCUGGAUUAAGCACAAGCUGGAAUCAAGAUUGCCAGGAGAAGUAUCAAUAGCCUCAGAUACACAGAUGACACCACCCUUAUGGCAGAAAGUGAAGAACUAAAGAGCUUCUUGAUGAAAGUGAAAGAGGAGAGUGAAAAAGCUGGCUUAAAACUCAACAUUCAGAAAACUAAGAUCAUGCAUCUGGUCCUAUCACUUCAUGGCAAAUAGAUGGGGAAACAGUGGAAACAGUGAGAGGCUUUAUUUUCUUGGGCUGCAAAAUCACUGCAGAUGGUGACUGCAGCCAUGAAAUUAAGACGCUUGCUCCUUGGAAGAAAAGCUAUGACCAACCUAGACAGCAUAUUAAAAAGCAGAGACAUUACUUUUCCAACAAAGAUCCAUCUAGUCAAACCUAUGGUUUUUCCAGUAGUCAUGUACCGAUGUGAGAGUUGCACUGUAAAGAAGGCUAAGCAUCGAAUAAUUGAUGCUUUUGAACUGUGGUGUUGGAGAAGACUCCUGAGAGUCCCUUGGACUGCAAGUGAAAGGUUGCUGAACCACAAAAGAUGCCAGGAUUCUUGGCCUCCAGAGGAGAAGAAUUCAAUACGGGGCCAGAGACGAGACUUGAUCAUUCAAAACUUUUGUGUAAUAAAAGUUUUAUUAAAGUAUAAAAGAGAUAGAGAAGGUUUCUGACAUAGACAUCAGAAGGGGGCAGAAAGAGUGCCCCCUCCCUAGUGUUAGUAAUGGAGUUAUAUACUUUUUAAUUAGUUAUUACAGUGAAUCAAAAGAAUGUCUGCAGGUUGUAAAGACCUUACUAGACCCACUCCCAUAAUUUACAUUUUAAGAUUACAGGGUUAGCCAGAAGGCUUUUUCCCAGAAACUGUCCUCAAGCAGGAUACAUUAUUGUUAUAUAAUCCUAAGGAAUGUAGAGGAAAAUAAGUUUGUCCUUUCCUCCUCCUUGAGAAUCCCGGACCCCUUUCUCCUUGGGGACCCCCAGACUUCUUAUCAACCUGCCUAGGAAAUGACUCUCUCAUUCCCCCCUCCUCUUUUAGGAGAAUUAUGUUGCCAAGGGAAAGGGGCAUUGUUUUCAUUCCAUAACUGCUUCCUGCUAUUUAGGGGCAUAGUCCCUAAAUUGCUGAGGCAACAUAUUCUCCUAACCCUCAUAUUGAGGGUCUCUGUUCCAGGGGCCCCAAGUAAUAGUUGGUGGAGGCUGUGGCACUUGUAGGAGCUUGGACAACCAUUUGUAACUUAAAAGCUUUCAGACAGUUAGAAACAAACCCUGUUUUACAGUUAUAGAUAUAAGGCAAAAUAGUCAUUAAACAAAGUUAAAAUCAAAAUUAAAAGUCACAUUAUGUCCAUAGUUACAUCAGUCCAUUUUAGAUUGUUAGACGUCAUUACAGAGUUGAAGAGAAUCCUUUCCUUGAAGUGGAGAUGACCACCACGGGAAGCCUUCCACUGAUGAAGAGGGGAGCAGUUAGACCGAUUAUGAAAUGCAGUGUAGGAAUGAGUCCAGGACAGGAAGGCAUUGUCUUGAGGGCCAAUGGCAGACUCAGGACUUUUGGAGUCAGCAGAAGUAGGCUCACAUAGAUUAUCAAGCCCAUCUGAAAAAACAAAGUCAGAGCAUAGAAAGUAAAGACAUAAAAUGACAUCGCUUGGUUCUGGUCAGGGUGCCACCUCUUAACUCGAGUGUGAUGCACCCACGAAUCAAUUCUUGCCACUCUGACAGCUGUGAGAGAAGAAAGAAUAACCUGGUAAUUAGGGCCUUCCCAGAGGGGCUUGAGAGAUUGGCCCCCAGAUCCCAAUGUUUUUAUCAGGACCUCGACUCCUGGCUCAAGUAGAGGUUUGCUUGACUCAGAGGCUGGGUCAGGAGUCACCUCCCGGAGUUCCAUUAAUGCCUGUUGAGAAGCUGAGAGCUGAGUUACAUAAUUAGUUAAUCCUAAGGCUUUAGGAAAACUUUUCCAUUGAGCAUUUUCAGGAAUUAUUAAUCAUCCAUCCUCUGACUGUAACCAUCCUUUAUUAGUAAUCUUUGCUCCUCUUUUCUCAUAUCUUUCUAAUUCUUCCUCAGUAUGUUGUGGUUUUUCCUGUUCCACAGGACCUGUCCAGAUCAACGAUGUCUGCAGUGAAUGGGUUUUGCAAAAUGCCGCUUUUCUGGCUUGACAGUCCACCAGCUGAUUACCUUCUGCUACUUUACUCCCAUCCCGGCUGUACCCUUUGUAAUGCAUAACAGCUAUUCUUUAGGACAAUAUAUAGCAGUUAAAAGUCUUUUGAUCUCUCUGAAAUGCUUAAUAGGUUCUCCUGUUGCCAUUUUAAACUGUCUUUCUUUCCAUAUUGCAGCAACAGCAUGUAAAGUCAAAGCAUGCAAGCGUACUUAGAAUCAGUGUAGAUAUUUAUCCUCUGCCCUCUGCCCUUUGCUUAACUCUAGAGCUCAGGUCAGAGCCACAGCUCCGCUAA